rnacentral:rRNA from 1 species
CGUAGGUGGCGAGCGUUGUCCGGAAUUACUGGGUGUAAAGGGCGUGUAGGCGGGACUGUAAGUCAGAUGUGAAAUUCCAAGGCUUAACCUUGGAGCUGCAUCUGAAACUAUGAUUCUUGAGUGCUGGAGAGGAAAGCGGAAUUCCUAGUGUAGCGGUGAAAUGCGUAGAUAUUAGGAGGAACACCAGUGGCGAAGGCGGCUUUCUGGACAGUAACUGACGCUGAGGCGCGAAAGCGUGGGGAGCAAACAGGAUUAGAUACCCUGGUAGUCCACGCUGUAAACGAUGGAUACUAGGUGUAGGAGGUAUCGACCCCUUCUGUGCCGCAGUUAACACAAUAAGUAUCCCACCUGGGGAGUACGGCCGCAAGGUUG